rnacentral:rRNA from 1 species
CCUACGGGUGGCAGCAGUGAGGAAUAUUGGUCAAUGGGCGGAAGCCUGAACCAGCCAAGUAGCGUGCAGGAUGACGGCCCUACGGGUUGUAAACUGCUUUUAUACGGGAAUAACGCGCCUUACGUGUAGGGCUUUGCAUGUACUGUAUGAAUAAGGACCGGCUAAUUCCGUGCCAGCAGCCGCGGUAAUACGGAAGGUCCGGGCGUUAUCCGGAUUUAUUGGGUUUAAAGGGAGCGUAGGCCGGUUGUCAAGCCUGCUGUGAAAUGUUCGGGCUCAACCCUGGCCUUGCAGCGCGUACUGGCGUGCUUGAGUGCGCGAGAGGUAGGCGGAAUGCGUGGUGUAGCGGUGAAAUGCAUAGAUAUCACGCAGAACCCCGAUUGCGAAGGCAGCAUACCGGCGCGCAACUGACGCUCAUGCACGAAAGCGUGGGUAUCGAACAGGAUUAGAUACCCUAGUAGUC